AGUGAACGCUGGCGGCGUGCCUAAUACAUGCAAGUCGAACGGAGAGUCGCACGGGGGAGUAAUAUAUAUCUAAUCCGCCCCUUUCUGGAGGAAUACAGUUUGAAAUGACUGCUAAUACCCCAUAGGAAGUGAUGAGACUAUAUCGUAUCAGCUCUUCGGGGGGGUAACGGCCUACCGAGGCGAUGACGAGGAACUGGUCUGAGAGGAUAAUCAGUCACAUUGGAAGUGAGACACGGUCCGAACACAUACGGGAGGGGGCAGUAGGGAAUAUUGCGCAAUGGGGGUAUCGCUGACGCAGCAACGCCGUGUGAAGGAUGACACUUUUCGGGGAAUAAACUAAUUUUAUUACGGAAGCGGUACCUAACGAAUAAGCACCGGCUAACUCCGUGCCAGCAGCCGCGGUAAUAC
rnacentral:rRNA from 1 species